AAGGAUGCUUGGGUUUGGCGUUGGAAUCAGAGAGGAAGAGAAAGUUAAGGAGAAAAGAUCUUUAUUCACUCAGUCAUGUUAUGAAACCCUAAUACAACCUAUGUAUAUUUAUACACAGCCAUUUGGCCUAAUAAAAAAUUUUUCUUAGCUAAACCCAAUACAUGAAAGCACUCAUCGAAUCAUGUCUAAUUUAUAUCUCACAUGCUCUCACCCCU
rnacentral:lncRNA from 1 species